rnacentral:rRNA from 1 species
AGAGGUGGCAAGCGUUGUUCGGAAUUACUGGGCGUAAAGGGCGCGUAGGCGGUCUUUUAAGUUCCGUGUGAAAUCCCUCGGCUCAACUGAGGAACCGCACGGGAAACUGGAAGGCUUGAGUUCGGGAGAGGGAAGCGGAAUUCCGGGUGUAGCGGUGAAAUGCGUAGAUAUCCGGAGGAACACCGGUGGCGAAGGCGGCUUCCUGGACCGACACUGACGCUGAGGCGCGAAAGCUAGGGGAGCAAACGGGAUUAGAUACCCCGGUAGUCCUAGCUGUAAACGAUGAGUGCUGGGUGUAGGGGGUAUUCACCCCCCCUGUGCCGAAGCUAACGCAUUAAGCACUCCGCCUGGGGAGUACGGUCGCAAGGCUG